UUUUUUUUUUGCAGUUUUGGUUUGAAAAAAGGCAUCAUGGAGUGAGCUGAUGUGCCAUCACUUUUUUUUGAAUUUUUUCAGGGAAAGCCUAAGGCCGAGAAUAGCCGAUCAUGCAUGUAUGAGUGUCCCGCACUGAUCAGGUUGCUACAUGCAGCUAAUAAAUAGUUGGUUCAUAACUGAGCACAUAAAGAAUCACAACCAUUUGAUGUUCGUUACACUCAGGGAGAAGGUUCAUUGGCACAUAGACUUCUGUGUUAACAGGGCGACAACGUCAAGGAUGGCAUCUGCGAGAACUCUUUUGUGUUAGAUAAAUUGAUGAUUAUGUCUGGAUCUCCGGGGGCAGACACUAUCAUACUGAAGCUCAGCCGGACCACGACUGUCAACAGGGUCACCGUAUUCUUUGAGGAACACAAACAAUCCAGGUAUGCAUUGCUAACUUUUCUGAACUUUUACAUGCUUCAGGCUCACUCCUUGACAACACUUAGCUAUCAUAAGGAUGAGGACGGAGCACAACUCUCUCAAUUCCCAAAAUGAGGUGGACAACACUUAGCUUACAUGUUCUUUGAGGACGGAGGAAGUUUCGCCUUAAACACAACUUUUAUCUGCUCUGAAAGAGUUACAUAUUUUGAAGUUUUUGCAACUCAGCCUAAAAGAGUUGGGUAACCAAACUCAAAAUGAGGUGGACAGUGCUCAGCGUGCAGUCACAUGGAGUAUUAGUUUCAUGGGUUAAUUUAGCACUGCAUAUUAUUAAUUGUGUUUCUAUUUUUGUUUCUCUCCAGCAAGCAUGACAAUAACAAGUUUAUAUCCAUCAGUUUCUUAGUACCCUGUUGGUUUCAGUAUUAAAUGGCCACAACACUUUCCUAUUUUGUUUGAGUUUUCAUGUGCUACUCUAUUAGGAAUAACAACUAAAAACAAUGAACGUUUGAUUUGAUUUCCUUCCCAACACAAGCAACAAAUAUAAUAAAUGUCUCGCAUCCUUGACUCCAGCAAAAAAUUCAUUGACUGACAUAAUGGAUCUGUCUAUUAAUCAAGAUUGUAUUACUAAACCUCCAGAUUGAUUAUUUUUAGUUAUGCAGCACACAGUAUUCUCCCCAGUUCUGCUCGAUUGGAUUGUCAGUUCAUGUACUCUGGUAAAUCAUUAUGGAAACUUUGAUUAUAAGAAACUAAUUUGUGUUCCUGUGGGUUUAUCUAUGCUCCUUUGUCGUUGAUGCGCCUAUGUUACUGUAAUUAUUUAGUUCCUCCGCUUCUAGGAUGAUCUCGGGUUUAGUAGUGAUAUAAAAAAGCUGUACAUUUCUGCGUUUCCUCUGCUAUUGUAUUGUUUCAUCACUUUCUGCUCCUUAUGGGCUGCCACUCUUUGACACCCUUUUUGUGCUCAAACAUUUUUCGAUGUCCCUUGCAGGAUCCAAAUGAGCUUGGUUACGUACUAAAUUAUUGUUGAGGAUCUCAGGUAAUCGUUGCAGUAGAAGAUUACGCCCCUGAUCAUCAUUCUCAUUUUCAAACUUGCCAUUUAUCAGAGGUGAUUUCUCUUGCCCCUUUCAUCAGUUAAUUCCGUUUGUUUGGUGGACUGAUUCACCACUUGAGUGGAUCACCGAGGACUUCUACAAUGGGCUAUGUUCUUCUUACAUAUGUAGGAUUUGGAUGGGGUGCAUUCAUGCAUUAUAUUGGAGCAAGGACCUGCCGAGCAGGGGGAUACCAUGGGGAGGCGAACCUGGUAAAAUAGGGGUGGAAAGUAUACUAUAGGUAUGUUAGCCGUGGCAAGGAAUUGGUGGAUUGUUUUCCAUUCAGUUGUGUUCAACACUGAAAAAUGGUAUAUCAUUUUUUGUCCUUUCCAAAUUAAAAUAUCAAUCCAUAAUUUUUUUGUCAUUCACAAAUUAAAUUAUCAGUGUAGAAGUCUAUUUGAGCAUUCAUUUCCUAUCCUUUUAUAAACUAGAAGGCCACGCUAGGUUUCUUAGUGUAGUAUUUGGAAUGUUUGACCCUGAACUGGCCCUCUGUUCCAACUAACGAAAAAAUGACCCUUUGUUGUGAUUUUAUUUUUUAUAUGUAAAACGAUAUUUGUAAAAUUUUGUAUUCGGUCUGCCAUUUGCCAGUGAAUUAGGGCUGCAUUUUAGAUUAGAACCAUGAAGUAACUAUGAUGUGCACCGCUUGGAACCAGAGCGAGUCUAAUGAAAGACGGGCAUUUGAUCAUGUUCUAUUUAAUUAUCAUUUCGUUCGUUUCGUCGUUCCAUCCCUCCCUGAACUGACCUUACCCACAACUCUUACCUUUUCAUUUCAUUUUAUCAAGGAAAGACUGUGGGGUUUGUGUAUCCUUAUCCAGGACAUUGUGAAGGCUUCUGAUGCAGUUUACAAGAAGCAAUUGGUGAGCUAAUUCAGAGGUUAGGCAACGCUUGUCAUGAUUUUUUAUUUCUGAAGCCACAUUAGCAAGCAUCAUAAAUAUAACUAAAUGUUUGCUGGCUUCCGUAAUUGCCUACAUCAAUGUAAUCUUCCACACUGAAAACACUCAUUUGAGAUUUGCAAGAAGCCUGCAUACUACUUACUGUUGAUGCAUUAACAUUGCAUCCUUCAGAAUUAGCAAGCAGGGCAUAAUGUUAGGUAUCUGUUUGCGGAAUUGCUGAAAAUAAUUGGUCUAUUUAAUCAAUGAGAAAUAGGAAGAUUCUUGUAAACUGCAGUGUGCUACUUGCUAUACUGGCUAAGCUACAUGACUUACUCUUUAGUGACAUUUCAUAUCGGCGGUGUGCUACUUGCUAUACUGGCUAAGCUUAAUUUUGUUCUUCCUGUGAACAUGUAGAUAAGUGAAAUGAUAAUAAGAAGGUUAAAUAAUGUUGUUCAAUCUUUCCGUCAAGCAACCUGUUUGGCCCCAAAUGUCCGCACCGACGCGGUGACGCCCGUGGGCGCCACCGUUCCUUCCUGAAGGGCAUCGGGUAUUCCCCUUCCCCAUGCCCGUCCGCGUACCGGGGGAAACCCUAGGACUUGUCCGGGCAGUAGCGUCAUUGUUGUCGUGUUCUUUCUUGAAGGUGUUGCUUGGCAUGCGGAGGUUCAAGGUGCUAGGAGCGAGGUGGUAAAUCUCCGGUGGGCGCAGCGGUUGCGGGUCAUCAUCAUUUUCGUCGAUCCGACGCUGUCGACAUUAUUUUCUCUCUUCUUUCUCUUUUUUUUUUCUUUUGGGCGUGCUUGUGCUGUUUGCCCCAGCAUUGGACUCUUGGUUGUAUUGGGUUGUUGCUCUAUCUAUAUAGCGGGGCGAAAGCCUAUUUCGUAAGAUUCUUCCAUGAAUUCAAGACUUGGCAAACCACUCCCAUUACAAGGUUCCAUAACACAUGCUGGAUUUGUAUGUCAAGAUAUCUGAAGGGCAAAAACUUAGUACAUCUAUUCUGUUUUUUUAAUAAAUCUCCCUCUUGAAAUGAGCUACAACUACUAACGAGUUAUUCUUCUCAUAUCUGUAAGGACACAUUUCAAUAUAUGGCUUCUAUUAGGGCGACUUGAUUGAGUACCGGCGAAUUACCUUCAAAAUGAUUAAAGGAAUGCGAAGAUGGGCCUUCUUGAGUUUUGACCACGCCUAAUAAUACUUAUGAAUUAUGGCUACUCUCCAUGCAGUUUGGUACGGUUAUUUCACCAACUAGCCCACUACUAUGCGCUGGAAGUUAUAUUGUUACUUAAUAGAGGCUACCCAUUCUAAACUUCUUCUCUUUGACUGUGUUGUCAGAUUAGUACAUCCAAUGGAACCUGACAUUAAUGAUAAAUUCCCUACAAUGACAGUGUGCUUUAUAUGAAAAGGGUUGAAUAUAAUUACCAAAGUUUGAUGGACGUUACGUGGCAUGCCAGUCAUGCAUAUGGAGCACAAAUGCAAAUGUUCGUAUUGUAUUGACGAUGCUCCCUUUUGAAAUUAACAUGCUUUGCCAAUUAUUUUGGACAUGAUGUAUUAGCUUAUUAUUUGUCAGCCUAUAGGUUUUAUGUGAGUGAAAACUAAAUAUCAUAAUUCUCAGACUGUUCUUGCCAACACCUCCAUAUCAACUAGGUAUGCAAUGCAUUAUACUCCCUCCGUUCCUAAAUAUUUGUCUUUAUACGGAGCAAAAUAAGUGAAUCUACACUCUAAAAUAUGUGUAUAUACAUCCGUAUGUGAUAGUCCAUUUGAAAUUUCUAAAAAGACAAAUAUUUAGAAACCGAGGGAGUAUAAGAUUAUUUUUGUUGUUUUUCCUUGUCUGUAUUUUUAAUUAUGGUUAUUACUUUCUGGAAUAAUCAACAGUUUAAUCUAUACUAUUAAAGGGGAGCAUGUAGGUCGUUUUGUUUCUGGGAGGGUGAGGCGCAGCCUCACGAAUGAGUGGAGAAGACAGUGUGCUCUGGGCCUCCUCCAAGCCCGCCGGCGACUUGUCGAUUUAUUGCUCUUCCCUUACAAGGUAUGAUAUUCUUCUUCCCUUCGUAUGUGUCCUCUUGCAAACAUGCAGUUCUUGAUUUGGUUGAUGAAAGUAGUCUAGGGUUUGACUAAUUCUCUUCGAAAAUGGAUUGUAUUAGUUUGAUUAGGUAAAUAUCUUCCCUGACAAGAUCAGAUCAAUUUCCCCACCCUGUGAUAUUUGUUUGAUUUCUUGAAUUUAGCCAAGCGCCUUUGCCAUGUGCCCCUAAUUCCCCAUCAUUCUUUUUGUCACAGCUUGUCAGAAGUUGAAAUUCCUUUCGGCAUAGAUCCCAACACCUUGGUAAUACUUGAAUUUGUCCUUGCAUCUUCAAUAAAUCAAGCACUGGAUUCACUAAAUCUAUUCAAGAGUUAAAAUACUUUGUUUUUAUAUUUUUCAGUGAGAUUUCUUAGCUGCUCGAUCGCCUGAUUUUAUGUACUUUUUUUCAAUAAUAUGAAAUAAUCUUUUUUAUAACUUAUUAUAACCAUGAUUGGGAGUAUCUGCCCCUGCGUAUGUACUCUUAGUGAUCCUGUAGGGUUGGGAUGUUACGUUGCGUAUGUCUUUUGCUGCAGUAUUUCCUAAUGGUAACAUGUAUGGUUCCAAAUGCCUAAUUUCAUAUGUAAUAGUUUUCCACACAAUUGUGUAACGCAAUCAAGUUUCUGGUUGCAGCAUCUUGGAACAUUAAUUUUAAGGAACAAAAUCCUCCAUGUUUUGUCUUUUAAUAAUGGAUAAUAACAAUGGAAAUGCUCCGCUAGACGACCCAUCAUUUGAUAGAUAGCACCUGCAUAAAAAGGCGUCCAGGUGUUAUCUAGAAUCCUAGAUAGAAACUGCAUAAAAAGGCGUUCAGGUGUUAUCUAUCGUUUGUAAUGGAGUGCAUGAUAAAGUUGUUCUAUAUUUUUAAACAACUUCCUUUUAUUUUGUGUAUCAGCUGAGUUAGUCUACGUCAUUGAAUUGCAUUUUUUUAUCUAAAUAUACAUUGCAAGUAAAGUAAAGUUCAUUUUUCUACACAUGAAAUCUGACAUGUAUUAUGUUAUAUAUGCACCAAGUAAAUUUUUAAAAGCCCGUGGCAACGCACGGGUGUUAUACUAGUGGCAAUAACAAAUGAGGGGGUAGUGUACUGUGGGGUGGUAACGGCGACUAUAGAGGCGUCAAUGAUGCAAGUGAUUCAUGUGCUGGUUAGUUGGGGAUGAUCUGACUAGCAUAGCCUCUGGAGAAGACGAAAGUGUCCACUUAGGAGGCACUGGCAUUGCUCGGUAUAAAAAAGAUACAACAUGCUGAACUAUGACGUUGAGCAUUAAAACAACAGAGAUUGAAUUUCUAACCAAAAAAUCUAGCUAAUCAUGAUUUAAAUGGUUCAAAUUCCAAAAUAAUAUUUGUGAUGACUAGGGAAUGUAAGACAAGAUAGAAACAGCAACCCUAAAAUUUCAGUGGCACAUGACUCCCUCCAAUAUCUACUCAUCAAAAUGUUUUCAGAAUUUUCAAAGUUUCCAGCUCAAUAUUUAAAAUUUCUGAAGUAAAGGGACCAUCUGCUCCUGAGAACAGAAAAUCCACUCUCCACAUUGGGCUUGAUAAGGCCCUUCCCAGUGCUCCACCGUGGACAGGUGCUAAGCAUGCCACAUAAGCGGAAAAAUGACAUGGCACAUUAUUUAAAGAGGAGAGAGAGCACUUUGGUGACCCCAGGAAGAACCAAUGCCAAGCACGAGAACCUAGGCAAACCACUUAAAUGAAACAAUUUGACCAAUGCAUGAAAGACUUUAGGUGUUAACUCAUUAAAUAAAGUGUGCUUAGCAACAACAAGUUAAGCACCUACGCAUUGGGGAGUUGAGUUGCUAAGGUAUUUAAUGCACUUAGCACCUCAUCUAAGCACCAUUGCAUUGGGAGAGGUCUAAGUACUCCCUCCGUAAACACGUUUAUAUCACAAGUAGUGAAUUUUCUCUUAUAUUAGUUUACAGAGGGAGUAUCUCUUAAAUUCAUAGAAAAGGUAAGGGAAAACAUAGUAACAUAAAGAAAAUAAAUUGUCACACUAUUCAUCCAAUUGGAAGAAUAGAGGAAUUUAUCUACAAAGAGCUAAUAGAGGGAGUAUCUCUUAGAUUCAUUUAUUAGUGCUAAUAUUAGCUUAACAACUAAGUCACAUUAUUAGUGCAUAUCUCUCCCAGCGUACAAGGGCUAAUACUCAUUUAUUAACAAGCAGCACCAGUUCUAGUUUGAACCCAAAGACAAAUUGACAGGAAAAAUCAAAACCAUCAAAAACGAUUGCACAUUAAUGGAUGUAAGUAUAACAACACCAACAGGACAAAUCAAUAACACAAACAAUGAUACAUAUAUACACAGCUGCAGCAACCCAUGUUUUUAGAUAGUACAAAUACAACACAAGCCAACGUUGGCAACUCAGCCAUCAAGGGCUGCCCAGCAAAGGAACUCAUCAGAUCUUAAACCCAACCACACCUACAUAAACGACUCACUUCUCACAUUAUUAAGCGCCAAUGAUCAGACCGUUUGGUUGUGUAAUGCUGCCUUGGUUAGGAGAAAAAUAGAUGCAACGGAUGCAUCUAACUCCCGCAUGCCAGGCACUCUUCCCGGUUGUUCAAGGAGCAAACAACUUGCGCCAUUUUGGCUUCGUCGUCUUCCUCUGCUAGUUUGCCAUUGGUUCCAUUAGUGCCAUUAGCAUCCUGCAAAAAACAUGCGUAUUCGUUAUGAGUGGUAAUGUUUUGAGCAGCUGGGUUGGAAAGAGAGCAAAACAGAUGGAGCCAAGGUCUAGAACACGUACCCCAUUGACCUUCAGAAAGCCAGUAUCCACAGUAAACUUGAUUGCAUCAGCAGCUGCCCUUGUUCUCAAAUAGUACAUCCCAGUUUUCAGGCCCUGACACCAACCAAAGAUUAAACACACCAUUGCUUGCAGUUUUAAGAUUUGAUACAAAAUGUUGAGGGUUAAAGAAAAAAAGCUUCAGAAUCCCCAUGAUGAGUUACCUUGGACCAAGCAUGGAAAUGCAACGAAGUUAGCUUUGCAAAGUUUGGUUGAUCCAUGUGGACAUUAAGGCUCUGGCUCUGGUCGAUGUAGCAUCCACGAUCAACAGCCAUGUCAACCAGAGUUUUCUGCUUAAUCUCCCAAACAGUCCUGAUACAAUAAUUGAGUAAACUUUCAGAUACAUAUAUCAACCGCAUCCAGUAGAAUGUAAUGAGAGGAGGGUGAACCACAUACUUGUAAAUUGCUUUAAGAUCAUCAGGGAUUUCUUCCAUCUUCUGAAUAGAACCAUCUUCAUAAAUUAUCUUAUUUUUCAGAGCAGGUGUCCAGAUACCCAUCUCAGUCAAGUCAUGGAGAAGAUGCUUGUUAACCACAACAAACUCCCCACUGCAAAAAAUGACAAGAAAAUCAAUGAUAUGCACAUGGAAUUCAGAAUGUGUGCAGUAAGACUGUAUUUACAAACCUUAGAACCCGCCGACUGUAUAUGUUAGAUGUGUAGGGUUCAAAGCACUCAUUGUUGCCAAGAAUCUGACUAGUGGAAGCUGUGGGCAUUGGAGCCACCAGAAGAGAGUUUCUUACUCCAACUUUGGAAAUAGUUUCCCUCAAAGUUGGCCAGUUCCAUCUGGUCGAUGGCACUACAUUCCACAUGUCAGGUUGGAUAAUACCCUGGAAGGAAGUUGGUAGAGAACAAAAGUUAGGAAGAAGAUUACUUGUUACUUUCCAACCAGUGAUUCAGUCACUAAGGUGAGUGGAUGCAAAUUAUGGGAAAAUUGGACAAAAAACUACACCAGGAAAGGCAACAUUAGACUGAUCUGUUUUAAAAAUUGGACUCCUUUCACUAAGUAAGAGAGAUCUGUAGAGGUGAGAGGCAAACCUUGCUGACAGGGCUCCCUUCAUAUGUUUCAUAAGGGCCUUCUUUAGCCGCCAGUUCAGCAGAAGCUUUCAGAGCAUGGUAGUAAAUAGUUUCAAAAAUAUCCCUAUUCAAUUGCUGAGCCUGAAAAGGAGAAUGCAUUUGUUACAUAUUGGCUAAGCCAGAAAGGAACAGAUGCCAUAGUUUAACUGGGAAAGGUACCUCAGGUGAAUCAAAUGCCAUGCCAAGUAACAUGAAUGUGUCUGCCAAGCCCUGAACCCCAAUACCAAUUGGCCUGUGUCGCAUAUUAGACCUCCUUGCAGUUUCAACCGGAUAAUAAUUCAUAUCGAUUAUUUUGUUUAGAUUGAAAGUAACAGUUGAAGUAACCUGGCAAAAACAGUAUGUUAGAACAUUAAUUGGCAGGCCAGAAAUGAGGAUCUACAGUGGGAUCCGAGCAAACCUCGCCUAGCUUGUCAAAGUCAAAGUAUCUAUUUUUUGAUCCAUUGCUACCAGCAAGCUUAGAUGGAUGGGACUCUAUUGGGACACCCUGCAACAGAAGUUUAUUGUAAGGCAUAAGAAUACAACCUCCAUCACAAUUAUAGAAUCCAGGGCCCUGAGAAUGUAUACCUUUUCCCUUACAAAACGUGGUAAAGCAAUAGAUGCUAGGUUGCAGACAGCAGUUUCCUCAGGACUUGUGAACUCAAUUAUCUCAGUGCACAAGUUUGAAGAUUUGAUUGUGCCCAGAUUCUGCUGGUUACUUUUCCUAUUGCAUGAAUCCUGCAGAUAAAUUAAGAGCAUUAAUAAAUCAUUGGAACCAGAUCAUUGACAGCAUCAAAACUUGGAAUACAAUCUAAUGUUUUGACAUUGAAUUGUACCUUAUAGAGCAUAUAAGGUGUGCCAGUUUCUAUCUGUGCCUUCAAAAUGUCAAACCAGAGGGUCUGUGCUGGAAUAACCUUUUUUGCUUUGCCCUGAAACCAGAAAGUGGGUUACUGAAGAGCGUUCCUUUUUAACUCAAUGUACUAUAUAGAUAGAGUUUUGAACUUACUGCUUUCUCAUAUUUCUUGUACAAUUCCUCAAACUUCUCACCCCAGCAAUCAGCCAACCCCGGAGCUUCAUUUGGACAAAACAGGGACCAAUCCUCAUUAUUUUGUACUCUUUGCAUGAAUAGAUCAGGAACCCAGAGAGCAAAGAAAAGAUCCCUUGCGCGGUUCUCCUCCUGUUAAAUUGGCAUUCAUCAGAACUCCUUCUAGAGAUGGCAUAUGGCAGAAAAACAGAUCACAAACAAAGCACAUAGGUUUGGAUCACAGUAAGCAGAUAACUAUUUAAACAGAAAAAAGUACUACAUCAAUAUUAUGUUAAAAUCCACUAUUCUCUUGCAUGGGCAUAAAUUACAGCAAACUAAGACUUGAAAGGCAUCUGUGGGAUGGGAUGCUCUUUAAAUGUACAAGGUAAAGUUGAAUGCCAUAGAAAGCACAGAAGAUUUGAAUGGUUAUGGACUUCAGUUGCAAAACGAAAACAGUAAUUAGAUAAUGCUGGGCUAACAUUUUACCUUCCCAUGGUUCUUCCUCAAAUCAAGGAACUCGAAAAUAUCAGCAUGCCAGGGCUCCAGGUAUACAGCAAAAGCACCUGAAUUUUGAAAAAUGUAUGAAUUUCAGAAGACUAUGGAAAUAGAGUUGCUCAUAAAAACUAUUAACAGAAGAGUAAUGCGCACCCUUUCUCUUGCCUCCACCUUGAUCUACAUAACGAGCAGUAUCAUUGAAGACACGUAACAUAGGAACAAUUCCAUUGGAUGUUCCAUUUGUUCCUCGGAUGUAACUCCCAGUAGCACGAAUGUUGUGAACAGAGACGCCAAUCCCUCCAGCAGAUUUGCUGAUGACAGCACAUUCCUUCAGAGUAUCAUAGAUUCCCUCGAUGCUAUCAUCUUUCAUGCAGAUAAGGAAACAGCUGCUCAACUGCAUCAUGAAGGAUGAAACUGUAAGUAAACAAAUUCAUGGUCCACAUUGAGGAUUUUUGUUGGCAGAUCACACAUUACCUGAGGUCUCGGGGUGCCAGCAUUGAAAAGGGUUGGCGAAGCAUGAGUAAACCAGCGCUGGGACAUGAGAUGGUAAGUUCUGAUGGCAGAGUCAAUGUCAUCCUUGUGGAUCCCUACUGAAACUCUCAUUAACAUGUGCUGCGGCCUUUCAACAACAACUCCACCGAGCUUCAGGAGGUAAGACCUCUCCAGAGUCUUGAAACCGAAGUAGUCAUAAUCAAAGUCCCUGUCGUAAAUUAUCUCGCUGUCCAAGCGAGCAGCGUUCUGGAAGCAAAUGUCACAACAUCAGAAGCAGCACGGCACAUGUUAAAACAACGUGCAUCGUGGAACAGACAGAGUAGAGCUACAUGAUGACUUCGUGUCAGAAAUGGGCCUCACCUUCAUGAUGACUUCGUAGAUAUCCUCGGCAAUCAGCGGAGACAGCAGCCCAGAUCUCUCGUUGUAGUGCAGGUACAUGUCCUUAAUCCUGCACCCACAGCCCACAAUUUAUCAUACCCGCCCAAAUCCACGAAAUCCAACCGAACGAACCAUGGCAGAAACAGGCGUGGUGACUUACGUCUCGGAGAAGGACUUCUUGGUGUUCUUGUGGAGGUUGGACACCGCAAUCCUCGCCGCGAGCUUCAGAAGAGCGAUAAACAAACGUCAGUGAGGAGACACCGAGAGGGGGGGACGGAAGCGGAACGGAAGGGAAGAGAUAGAUCGGGAGGGGGGACGUACGGAGGCAUAGUCGGGGUGGGAGGCAGUGAGCGCGGCGGCGGUCUCGGCGGCGAGCUCGUCGAGCUGGCUGGUGGUGACGCCCUUGUAUACCCCCGCGCAGACCUUCUGCGCGACCAGCACCGGGUCGCAGUGCUCCUGGCUGAGCCCGUAGCUGAGCUUCUUGAGCCGCGCCGUGAUCUUGUCGAAGUGCACCGUCUCCGUCCGCCCGUCCCGCUUCACGACGUACAUCUCGGCCGCCUCGGGGGCCUUCCGUCGAGCAGGUUGCGCGCGCCGCCGCCGCCGCGGUGUUGGAUGGAUUGGGUGAGGGGAGGGGGGGUGGGCGGUUGGUGGUGCCGUCGUAGGGUUUGGGGCCUCGCGCGGGCCGGUUUAAAUGCCUUCCUGGCGCGCCCAGGCCGCCAAUAAUUAUACGCCGGCGAAAAAUUCCGCGAAAAUGUUUGGGUUUGGACGCGGCUUGGCGCGAGAGCGGGGAGCCGUUUCCCGCGCGGGUUUUGGCGCUGCCUCACGGGCCUCCCGGCGCAACAAGUAGGCCACGCACGGCACUGGUGUGUGGGCCGGAGGCCGUUCGGGCCCACGCGUCGGUGGGCUCCUCUGGGGCCUGGCGUGUCCCUCUGAGUGGGGGCUGACGGGUGGUCCGGGGGUGUCAGUGGUGCGCGUGGGAGAGGGCGGGAAACCGAGGCGGAGGGGGGAGCGUGGUGGGGAAGGAAUAAGGAUGGUUUGUUUUUGGGCCGGCCGCUGAUUUUGGGCGCGGCGGCGUGGACUUUGGGGAACCGCCGGUAUGAUUUUCGGCUUUGUUUUCUCGGUCGAGCAGCUGUUUCUUCCCGGAGAAGGUGGCGCGGCGACCGUUGAGAUCUGGAGGAGUGCUCGGUCCAGAGGGGUGUUGCGAAUCGAAUUCGGUUGCAAGUGUGUGCGAGGGAAGGAACCAGUGCCGACGUACGCAGAUGCUGAUGCGGUGGCCAGUGGUAAAAAUGCGUUGAUCUGUUCUGGCCUUUGCAGAAAAAGGUUGAGGCUGCAUCGCCAAACGGAAUGCUGUCACUUUUCCCCCUUUUUUUGAGCGUUGGAUGAGCACGCCCUUUACGAAGAGGUAAAAGCACCCGAGGUACCUUAACUUGCAUGGAACGUGAUGAUUUAGUCUCAAACUUGUAAAAUGCAACUCCAUCAUACCCCAACUUGCACUAGAUGUAACGAUUUGGUCCCGGGCCCAUCACAGCGCGACAAUUGGCAGCCACGUGGCUGGCCCGAUCGUGGCCUGCACUUUUGCAAAAAACACCCUGCCAUCUUUUGUAGUUAAUCCGCAAUACAAAUCUGUCUGAAGUUUCACACUGGAUCUGAAACGGAGGAAGUGGUUGGUAAAUAUUGACUCCUCUCGAUCUAAAGUAAACGGUGGAACAUCACUUUUUCUUUAUAGAAGGAAAAUGUUCAGAGUUACAGUAAGUUUUUUUUAUUUCACUUCGCCUUUUUGUGUGAAGAAUUUUAUUUCACUUCUCAGGGCAAGGGGUAGUCAGAGCUGAGUUGAGACGUGCUUGAAAGCCUAUGUGACAUAAAAUAAUUCUAUUAUAACAGGAGACUCGCCUUCUGCUUUUUGACUCUCACACACCUAUGAACCGCCAAUCGGUGGCAAGGCCAUGGGCAGUUUGGCGUUUGUGUCAUGAUUCUAACUAUUCUCUCCGUCUCAAAAUGUAAGACAUUUUUUACACUAUAAUAGUGGCAAAAAAACGUUCUACAUUUUGGGACAGAGGGAGUAGUUGUUUAGUUGAUUUCCACUGAACCAGAUCUUAACUUCCAGUUUGGCGUGUGUGUCAUUAUUUCUAGCUUGGUUAGCUCCACCAUCAUCCUUGUGCUUUGGUUUGUUGUUUCAUGUCCUCCCAGUUUCGUACCUUCUCCAGCCAGUUGAUCUUGCUUUUUUUUUAUCGCAGAGAUGAGACCUUGUUAUGCCAUCCCUAUCGUUUGGCAGGGCCGUCGCCAAGAAUUUGAGGGCCCGGGAUGAAAUGCAGAUAUGACCUUCUUUUUAAAAAGUUUCAUGGUCAAGUAACUCUCCCUUGAUUGUAGAAUUUGAGAUGUGUCCACAUUUAGAAAUACACCUAAUAUCAAUGCCAAAAAGUGAACGUACCAAACUGAUCUCAUGUUGGUCUUAUACCUAUAUAUAUAUAUAGAAAAGCAUCAUCCGGCUAGUAUCAAUUCUGCUACAGUUUGCGCAUUGUAGACAACUAGUACUACUAGAAAAUCUAUCGUGGUAAUUAGGAAUAGGAGCGCUGGCUACAACUAACGGGAAAAAAAAAUCUAGUAGCGCAUGAUGAAAAAAUCUUGUCACAUGAUUGAUCCGUUCAUAGGCUUACCAAAUCUAAACAGAACGGCAAAACUGACAAACAGAGCAGGCGGUAGCCGGUGGAUGAACAAGUAAUUGGCCUGUGUACUGUGUUUGUACUCAGAUCGGUGCACCGGCCGGUGAGAUCGUCCGUACCCUCGUAUAGGAAGCGAGCCGAACAUGUACUGCGGGCAGACAUAGCGAUUGGUGUGGGCGGUAGGCAGGCGAUCAGAGCCGCAAAUAAAACCUACUGGAGAAAUAGCGAUUGGACAUCUGGCAAGCAAUCAAUCGUAGGCCUGCUUGAACUCCGUAUGAUGAUAAUGGGCUGGAUUAUUGGCCGCUUUUUCCAAAUUAAACUUUACCUAAUGUUGUUACCAUAUGAAUGGAAGGUGUUUCAUGGAGGGAAAGAAAAACUGCAGAAGCCGGAGAUCAAGGAAAGAUGGGUGCCAUCGGAGGAGGGUUGGGUUAAGGCAAAUUUUGAUGGAGCUGUUUACAAACAAGGAGCAAUGUGUGGUGUAGGUGCUGUCCUACGGGAUCAUUCAGGAGCUUUUAGAGCUGUUACUUGUCAUCUCUUUGAUGGAAUCGCCGAUCCGGAGGUUGCUGAAAUUUAUGCUUGCAAACGAGCUCUACAGGUGGCGGCCGAACUCAACACAUCCAAGCUGCUGUUGGAGACGGACUGUGCUAAUCUAGCAAAGGUGGUGUGUGCGCAAGAGAAAACUCUCUCUGUAGUUGGACCCCUGGUGGAGGAGAUCAAGGAGAGGAUGAAAAUGUUCCAAGAAGUGAAAGUGUCUUGGGUUAGGCAUAAUGUUAAUGCUGCCGCGGAUAAGUUAGCUAAAGUAGGGUUAAGCGAUAGACUGUGUAAGGUUUGGUUUGUUGUUCCCCCAGAUUGUAUUUUGGGCACUAUGUCGGACGAGAUUCCUAAUCUCCUUUAAUUAGUCAAUAAAGUGGCAGUAGUUGAUCCUCAAAAAAAAGACGAUAUAUUGUCUCACUUGAGCGAAAUGCACGAAUGGUCACGGUUUGUCUCUGGCCACGGCCAAAGAGGAACUAUAGAGUAAAAGAGAAAAUCCUAACACUGGAGACCGGUACGCUGGAGAUUUGAGAUGCAAGUUGAUCAGACAAUCCGCACCGGCCCUUGAUCUGCACAAUGGGAAUGAUUCAGUUGAUGUUAAGAACUGGGAUUUUGCAGCCAACGCAGUACAAUUAAUCUAUCAGCGCAGAAAAGUCAGACCCUAAAUAGACUCGAAGCUACACAUAAGCCAUAGUCAGUCAUGCUUCCUGUUGGCAUAGUUACAGUGGGGAAUUUUAUGAAUACAUAGUUUCAGAUCCACGAGUUAAUUAGACAAGACGGCAGGGUGUUUUUUGUAAAAGUCCAGGCGAGGACCGGUCUGGCCACGUGUCUGCCAAUUGUUGCGUUGUGAUAGGCCCAGGACCAAAUCGUCACAUCCAGUGCAAGUUGGGGUAUGGUGGAGUUGCAUUUUGUAAGUUUAGGACUAAAUAAUCACAUUCCAUGCAAGUUAGGGUACAUGGGGUGUUUUUACCUCCUUUGCGAAAGUUCAGAUUCACGCGAGAGAUUUACUGCCAUCGUCUCCUUUUUACUGAGAUCGUCUUCUGGGAGAGAGAAUUUGAACGAGCAAAUCUUAAGAGCAACUCCAACGGGCCGACCCAAAUGGACGGUGAUUUUGUCCGUUUUUUAUCCGUUUGGUCGGCCAGAUGGACACGGAUGUCCGCUUCCGCAUUUGGGUCGGCGCGUGCGUCCAACGCUGGCUGAACCCAUUUUUGACGGCGCAAAAAAAAUGAACGCAUGCAUAUUAAAAAAACGGCAUUAAUUAAACAUUAAAGCCAGCCACGAAGGCCGGUGAGAGUCUACGCGUCCACAUUUGCAUUAAAAAAACAGCUUAAAUUACGAGAUGGUGCGCUGCCCUAGGCGUCCUCGUUGUCGUCCUCGGGGUCCGUGAGGUCGAUGAGCGUUGGCGCCGGCCCGGCCCAGGCGAACACCGUGUUCCAGAGUGCCGUCAUGUCGGGCAGUGCCGGCGCAGGCAGUGCCGGCGCGGGGGGUUGUGCGGCCGCCUGUGCAGCCGUGGCCUGGCGCGCCUCCUCCUCGGCCUCGCGCUGCUCCUCCUCGAGGUCACGCUCGAGCAUCUUGAGGUACUCGUCGUCGCGGCGCUCCUCGGCCACCCUGAUGAUGAGUCAGUGCUCGAGGUAUGCCUGCUCCUGCGCCGGCGUCGCUCCCAUCCAGACCGGCGGUGUGCGUACCCAUUCGCGCACUACUCCCGUCCAGGAGUAGCGCUCGAUGGGGGACGACUCGGGCUCCGCCUCCGGCUUGAUGGGGGACGGCGGGGCCACCGGCGGCACCACGCUGUCGCCCGCCGUGGAGAGGGCAAGGGCCUGCGCCAUUGCCGCCUCGUACCGAGCCUCUUCUUCCGCCUCCGCCGCCAACGCCCUGCGCCGCUCGUCCUCCUUGCUCUCCUGGGAGACGGCCGCAAGUGCCGCCUGGCAGGCGUCCUCCGCCGCCUGGUCCUCCUCGCGGACGACGAGCGCCGGUGGCGGCGACCUCCGGUCGACCUUGCGCACGCCCCGUCGCCUCGCCUCCUCGUGCUCGAAGGUGAACACCUCACCCAGUUGGGCGAGUCGGUUGCGUAGGCGGCCUCGCGGCGCUGCUCCGGCGUCAACAGCGCCCGCCGGCGCCGCACCUCCUCCGCGUGAGCACGAGCCGGCCGCGGCGCCGCGGGCACUGGGAUCCUCUCGGGAUCCAGAUGUCAGUCGUGCGGCAGCGUCACGUCGGGAUACGAUAGAGGUUGGCGGUGCUACCAGUGCCACUCCGCCUGGUGCACUGGCACGUUCACGUGUUGCCUCUGCUGGUGAGGCGCCGGCGCCGGCGGAGGCGGGAGGAAAGGGAUGGCGGGGGACUUGCCCUUGGCCUUGCUGCCGCUGGCGCCGGAAAAGAGGCCCAUCUCUGUUGUGGUUGUGGUGGCUAGGGUUUGCUGGCGACGAGGGAGCAAAGGAUGGCAGAUGUCGACGGCGAGUUUGGAUGAGGACGGCCCCGCCUCACGGUCGGCUUAAAAAGGACGAGCGCCAUCGCUGACGUGUGGGCCCGUCAUCAUAAAUUAAGCUGACCGCGUGGGCAGCGGGUAGUUGGACGGCCGCCAUGUGGGGACGCGGCGGACAGCGGGAAGGCGCGCGAAGCGUCCGUUCGACGUCCGCGCCGACACAUUUGGGGCGCGAAUUUGGGCCGCAAAUGCGUCGGCGCGGACGCGACGCGGACGUGAUUUGGGUUUGGGUCGGCGCGUUGGGCCGCCAUUUUUGUCCGCGCCGACCCAAACGGACGCAGGCGGACGAAAUUGGUCGGCCCUUUGGAGUUUCUCUAAAAACAUCUCCACCUUAUCGUUAACCAUCGUCGCUGGAAUCAAAUUCAGGAGCCAUAAACUGAAACCCUACUGAUGGCUAAGGCCAACUUCGCCGCGCGACUCUAUCCUGUCCGCCCCGUCCGUUUGGGGUAAAAGGGACAAACGAGACGGCCCAGCGCGGGCGCAAAUGGACUUUUGUCCGCUUUGUGUCCGCUUUCGACCCAUCCCCGGCCCAAGUUUGCGCCGGUUUUGGGGUGAAACGGACAGCGCACAGACGGGCGAAACAUGCGCGCUUGUCCUCCCCUGGCCCGCCUGUCGGUGGGAGAAACCAACCCCCCACGCCCAUUUGGCGCCAUUUCCCCCAAACCCCCCACGUCCCUCCCGCUGCCCCUCUCUCCCCCGUCCAUGGCCGACGCCCCGCCGAGUUUCAACGGCCUGGCCGUCGACCCGCCCGCAAAGGUGAAGAAGAAGGAACCAAGGAAGCCGCGGUCGGAGUGCACGCCGGAGGAGAUCGCCAAGUUGGACGCGGAAUUGGCGAAGAGGAGGGAAUGGAGAGCGGUCAUCAAGGUCAAUGCCGCCGCGGCCAAGUUCACCGCCCAGUGCGAUGAGCUGGAGGCCACGCGGCGCAAGGCCGCGGCCGACGAAAAGGAGGACCUCAUCAACAAAGCGCACGCCAUCCUCAUGCUUGGCAUGGGCCGUCCGGCCGGGUUCCCUGCAGCAGAAGCACAAAAGAAGAGGAAGAGCAUUCGCAUGGGUUCAUACACACAAGAUGAGGACAAGUUGAUUUGCCAAGCUUGGAUGGAGAUUAGCCAAGAUCCGAGGACCGGCGCGCAACAAAAGGGCAUUGUUUUGUGGAUGAGAGUCCACAAAAUAUUCCAUGAAAGGAAGAUGUUUGAGCCCUGCCAAAUUACAAGCAACCGUGGCAUCGUCUCGAUUCAAAAGAGAUGGUUUUUCAUCCAACAAGUGUGCAACAAGUAUUGCGCCACAUUUGAGAGUGUUGAAGCACAGCCCGUGAGUGGUCUCGGCGUUGGGGACAUGGUAUGCUCUCCUCUUCCUAGCCCUUUCCUUGCUACGACCAUGAGACUUCGGCUGUGUAUAUGUUUGCAUGUUCACUUGUUGUUGAUCAUGUGGUGUAGGCAUUUCAAUCCUUGGAGGCAUUCAAGGCCCAGCACAAUGACAAACCAUUCACUCUAACGCAUUGUUGAAUGAUCAUCAAUAAUUGCCCUAAGUUUAAGGACCAAUACCGUGAACUACAAAGGAAGAGAGGACUGAAGACGGCCAAGUUCGUCGGAGGUGGAGAUGGCGAGGCGUUGAAGAGGCCGAGGGGCAAGACCAACUCCAAGGUUGAUGACAUACGUGAUGCCUCAUCCAUGGCAUUGCAUGACACUUUGCAUGGCAUGAUGUCCAAAAGGAUGUGAGGGACGAGAAGAAGCGGCAAAGCAAGGAGGAGCAAAUGAAGCAAUACCUAGACCUUCAAACAAAGAAACUUGAGAUGGAGAAGGCGUCCAAGAGGAGGAAGAUCGACAUGGAGGAGGCGGCCCGGCAAAGGCAGCUUGACAUCGAGGCCGACAACAUCAAGGCCAGGAAGAGACAGCUCGACAUCGAGGCCACGAAUGCCGCCACCAAAGCGAAGGAGGUGGCCCUUGCGAUCAUGAGCGUGGACUUGUCGAAGAUGAGCGACAAGACGAGGGCCUGGUUCGAGGCCAAGCAGAAGGAGAUGCUCGACGCCGAAGGCCUGAACUAGGUCGUCCGAUCGGCCGUGGCCGUUCUUUUUGGAGGCUGGCAUGGGUGCCGCCCGCUGGGCCGCUGGCUAUGUGCCGGCGAGAAAACAUUCAUUUUGGUGGUCGGCUGUGUUGCCGGCCGUUGGCUGUGUUGCCGGCGAGGACAACUAUUAAUUUUGGAGGCUGGCUGAUGCCGGCGAUGGACGUGUAGGCUGCUGGCUCUAUUGCCGACGUGAUGAACCGGGGCCGCUGGCCUGAACUAGGGCUUGGCAUUUCAAGCGUUGCUUCUGGUUUUUUAAAUAGACGCGGACAGGAUGGGGCAAAUGGAUGCGGCCGCGCACUGGGCGCACGGCCACCGCAUCCCAGAACACGCCCGGACAUGUGUCCAAAACCCUACCCAAACGGACAGAAUCCAGACAAAACGGACGUCCGUUUGGGGUCGUGAUACGUCCAUUCUGCAUCAUGCUUUUAUAUCGAUAUUUAUUGCAUUAUGGGUUGUUAUUAGACAUUAUGUCACAAUACUUAUGCAUAUUCUCUCUUAUUUUACAAGGUUUACAUGAAGAGGGAGAAUGUCGGCAGCUGGGAUUCUGGGUUGGAAAAGGAGCAAAUAUUAGAGACCUAUUCUGCACAGCUCCAAAAGUCCUGAAACUUCAUGGAAGACGUUUUCAGAAUAUAUAAAAAAUACUCAGCGGAGGAGAUUCACCAGGGGGGCCACAACCUGCCCACGAAGGUGGGGGCGCGCCCUACCCCCUGGGCGUGCCCCUACCUCGUGGGCCCCCUGGUGGCCCUCCGGUGGCCAUCUUCUACUAUAUGAAGUCUUUCGAUGGGAAAAAAUAAGAAUCCAUUUUCUCGGACGAAACUCCGCCGCCACGAGGCGGAACCUUGGCGGAACCAAUCUAGGGCUCUGGCGGAGCUGUUCUGCCGGGGAAACUUCCCUCCCGGAGGGGGAAAUCAUCGGCAUCGUCAUCACCAACGCUCCUCUCAUCGGGAGAGGGCAAUCUCCAUCAACAUCUUCAUCAGCACCAUCUCCUCUCAAAACCCUAGUUCAUCUCUUGAAUCCAAUGCUUGUCUCUAAGUCCGGGAUUGGUACCUAUGGGUUGCUAGUAGUGUUAAUUACUCCUUGUAGUUGAUGCUAGUUGGUUUAUUUGGUGGAAGAUCAUAUGUUCAGAUCCUAUAUGCAUAUUAAUACCCCUCUGAUUAUGAACAUGAAUAUGCUUUGUGAGUAGUUACGUUUGUUCCUGAGGACAUGGGAGAAGUCUUGCUAUUAGUAGUCAUGUGAAUUUGGUAUUCGUUCGAUAUUUUGAUGAGAUGUAUGUUGUCUCUCCUCUAGUGGUGUUAUGUGAACGUCGACUACAUGAUGUAGAGAGAUAAAUUGAUGCAAUAUGAAAUAAACCCCAUCUUGUUAUCCUCGAUGGCAAUGAUACAAUACGUGCCUUGUUGCCCCUUCUGUCACUGGGUAAGGACACCGCAAGAUCGAACCCAAAGCUAAGCACUUCUCCCAUGGCAAGAACUACCAAUCUAGUUGGCCAAACCAAAUAGAUAAUUCGAAGAGACUUGCAAAGAUAACCAAUAAUACAUAAAAGAAUUUAGAGAAGAUUCAAAUAUUAUUCAUAGAUAGACUUGAUCAUAAACCCACAAUUCAUCGGUCUCAACAAACACACCGCAAAAAGAAGAUUACAUCGAAUAGAUCUCCACAAGAGAGGGGGAGAACUUUGUAUUGAGAUUCAAAGAGAGAGAAGAAGCCAUCUAGCUACUAACUAUGGACCCGAAGGUCUGAGGUAAACUACUCACACUUCAUCGGAGGGGCUAGGAUGAUGUAGAAGCCCUCCGUGAUGACGGCCCUCUUUCGGCGGAGCUUCGGAACAGGCCCCAAGAUGGGAUCUCAUGGAUACAGAAAGUUGCGGUGGUGGAAUUAGGUUUUUGGCUCCUGUUCUGAUCAUUUUGGGGGUACAUGUGUAUAUAUAGGAGGGAGAAGUACGCCGGAGGAGCAACGAGGGGCCCACGAGGCAGGGGGCGUGUCCUAGGGGGGCGCCCCCACCCUCGUGACCGCCUCUUUUGUUCCUUGGAGCAGGGUCCAAGUCUCCUGGAUCACGUUCGGUGAGAAAAUCACGUUCCCGAAGAUUUUAUUCCGUUUGGACUCAGUUUGAUAUUCCGUUUAUCCGAAACACUAAAAUAGGCAAAAAAACAGCAAUUCUGGGUCGAGCCUCGGGUUAAUAGGUUAGUCCCAAAAAUAAUAUAAAAGUGGAAAAUAAAGCCCAAUAUAGUCCAAUACAGUAGAUAAUAUAGCAUGGAGCAAUCAAAAAUUAUAGAUACGUUGGAGACGUAUCAGGCAUCCCGAAGCUUAAUUCCUGCUCGUCCUCGAGUAGGUAAAUGAUAAAAAGAGAAUUUUUGAUGCGGAAUGCUAUUUGGCAUAAUUUCAAUGCAAAUCUUCUUAAUUGUGGUAUGAAUAUUCAGAUUAGAAAGAUUCGAGACAAAAGUUUAUAUUGACAUAAAAAUAAUAAUACUUCAAGCAUACUAAUAAAGCAAUUAUGUCUUCUCAAAAUAACAUGGCCAAAGAAAGUUAUCCCUACAAAAUCAUAUAGUCUGGCUAUGCUCCAUCUUCACCACACAAAGUAUUUAAAUCAUGCACAACCCCGAUGACAAGCUAAGCAAUUGUUUCAUACUCUAACUUUUUCAAAACUUUUUCAAUCUUCACGCAAUACAUGAGCGUGAACCAUGGAUAUAGCACUAUAGGUGGAAUAGAAUGGUGGUUGUGGAGAAGACAAAAAGGAGGGGAAGAUAGUCUCACAUCAACUAGGCGUAUCAACGGGCUAUGGAGAUGCCCAUCAAUAGAUAUCAAUGUGAGUGAGUAGGGAUUGCCAUGCAAUGGAUGCACUAGAGCUAUAAGUAUAUGAAAGCUCAAAAAGAAACUAAGUGGGUGUGCAUCAAACUUGCUUGCUCAUGAAGACCUAGGGCAAUUUGAGGAAGCCCAUCAUUGGAAUAUACAAGCCAAGUUCUAUAAUGAAAAAUUCCCACUAGUAUAUGAAAGUGAUAACAUGAGAGACUCUCUACUAUGAAGAUCAUGGUGCUACUUUGAAGCACAAGUGUGGUAAAAGGAUAGUAACAUUGUCCCUUCUCUCUUUUUCUCUCAUCAUUUUUUAUUUGGGCCUUUUUUAUGGCCUUUUUUUAUUUGGGCUUCUUUGGCCUCUUUUUUUUAUUUUUUUUAUUUUUCGUCCGGAGUCUCAUCCCGACUUAUGGGGGAACCAUAGUCUCCAUCAUUCUUUCCUCACUGGGACAAUGCUCUAAUAAUGAUGAUCAUCACACUUUUAUUUUUCUUAUAACUCAACAAUUACAACUCGAUACUUAGAACAAAAUAUGACUCUAUGUGAAUGUAUCCGGCGGUGUACCGAGAUAUGCAAUAUGACAAUGAUGGAGUGUGUCAUGAUAAACGGAAUGGUGGAAAGUUGCAUGGCAAUAUAUCUCGGAAUGGCUAUGGAAAUGCCAUAAUAGGUAGGUAUGGUGGCUGUUUUGAGGAAGGUAUAUGGUAGGUGUAUGAUACCGGCGAAAGGUGCGCGGUAUUAGAGAGCCUAGCAAAGGUGGAAGGGCGAGAGUGUGUAUAAUCCAUGGACUCAACAUUAGUCAUAAAGAACUCAUAUACUUAUUGCAAAAAUCUAGAAGUUAUCAAAGCAAAGUAUUACACACAUGCUCCUAGGGGGAUAGAUUGGUAGGAAAAGACCAUCGCUCAUCCCCGACCGCCACUCAUAAGGAAGACAAUAAAUAAAUAAAUCAUGCUCCGAGUUCAUCACAUAACGGUUCACCAUACGUGCAUGCUACGGGAAUCACAAACUUUAACACAAGUAUUCUUUAAAUUCACAACUACUCAACUAGCAUGACUUUAAUAUUAUCACCUCCAUAUCUCAAAAAAAUUAUCAUGCUUCAAUCUUUUCUUAGUAUUCAACACACUCAAAAGAAAGUUUCACAAAUCUUGAAUACCAAGCAUAUUAUUAUUAAGAAAACUACCAUGCUAUUAAGAGACUCUCGAAAUAAUUUAAGUGAAGCACCACCGUGCUCUAAAAGAUCUAGGUGAAGCACAUAGAGCAAAAUUAUAACGCUCAAAAGAUAUAAGUGAAGCACAUAGAGCAAAAUUAUCUAGCUCAAAAGAUAUAAGUGAAGCACAUAGAGCAAGACUACUUAGCUCAAAAGAUAUAAGUGAAGCACAUAGAGUAUUCUAUCAAAUUUUAAUUCAUGUAUGGCUCUCUCAAAAGGUGUGUACAGCAAGGAUGAUUGUGGCAUACUAAGACACAAAGACACAAAUAAUACAAGACGCUCCAAGCAAAACACAUAUCAUGUUGGUGAAUAAAAAUAUAUCUCCAAGUAAAUUACCGAUGGAAGUGGACGAAAGAGGGGAUGCUUUCCGGGGCAUCCCCAAGCUUUGACUUUUUGGUGUCCUUGGAUUAUCUUGGGGGUGCCAUGGACAUCCCCAAGCUUAGGCUCUUGCCACUCCUUGUUCCAUGAUCCAUCAAAAGAAUUCACCCAAAACUUGAAAACUUCACAACACAAAACUCAAAAUAGAAAACUCGUGAGCUCCGUUAGCGAAAGAAAACAAAAGACCACUUCAAGGUACUAUAAUGAACUCAUUCUUUAUUUACAUUGGUUUAAACCUACUGCAUUACAACUUCUCUAUGGAUUAUAAACUAUUUUACUAGCCAUAGAUUCAUCAAAAUAAGCAAACAACACACGAAAAACAGAAUCUGUUAAAAACAGAACAGUCUGUAGUAAUCUGUAGCUAGCGCAAGAUCUGGAACCCCACAAAUUCUAAAAUAAAUUGCUGGACGUGAGGAGUUUAUCUAUUAAUCAUAUUAAAAAAUAAUUAACUAAAUAGCACUCUUCAAAUAAAAAUGACAGCAGUUCUCGUGAGCGCUAAAGUUUCUGUUUUUUACAACAAGUUCAACAAGACUUUCUCCAAGUCUUCCCAACGGUUCUACUUGGCACAAACACUAAUUAAACACAAAAAAACACAACCAAAACAGAGGCUAAAUAAUUUAUUUAUUACUAAACAGGAGCAAAAGGCAAGGAAUAAAAAUAAAAUUGCGUUGCCUCCCAACAAGCGCUAUCGUUUAACGCCCCUAGCUAGGCAUAAAAGCGAGGAUAGAUCUAGGUAUUGCCAUCUUUGGUAGGCAAUCCAUAAGUGGCUCUCGUGAUAGUUUUGUAUGGUAAUUUUAUUUUCUUUCUUGGAAAGUGUUCCAUGCCCUUUUUUAAUGGAAAUUGAAAUCUAAUAUUCCUUUCCUUCAUAUCAAUAAUUGCACCAAUCGUUCUAAGGAAAGGUCUACCAAGAAUAAUAGGGCAAGAAGGAUUGCAAUCUAUAUCAAGAACAAUGAAAUCUACGGGCACAUAAUUCCUAUUUGCAACAAUAAGAACAUCAUUAAUCCUUACCAUAGGUUUCUUAAUAGUGGAAUCCGCAAGAUGCAAGUUUAGAGAGUAAUCAUCAAAAUUACGGAAAUCUAGUAAAUCACACAAAGUCUUGGGAAUAGUAGAGACACUAGCACCCAAAUCACAUAAAGCAUAAAACUCAUGAUCUUUAAUUUUAAUUUUAACAGUUGGUUCCCACUCAUCAUAGAGUUUUCUAGGGAUAGAAACUUUCAACUCAAGUUUUUCUUCAUAAGAUUGCAUCAAGGCAUCAACAAUAUGUUCGGUGAAGGCUUUAUUUUGACUAUAAGCAUGUGGAGAAUUUAGCACAGAUUGCAACAAGGAAAUACAAUCAAUUAAAGAGCAACUUUCAUAAUUAAAUUCCUUGAAGUCCAAUAUAGUGGGUUUAGCAACAUCUAAAUUUUUAUUUCUUUCAAUCCCACUUUCAUCAAUUUCAUCAUUAAGAUCUAAAUACUCCGAAUUUUUAGAACGCCUUCUAGGUAAAGGAAGAUCAUAUUCAGUUUCAUCAAGAUUCAUAUUGCAAAAUAAAGAUUUAAUAGGAGACACAUCAAUAACUUUUAGAUCUUCAUCUUGAUUUUCAUAGGUAUUGGAAGAACACGCUUUAAUAGAGGCAUCUUUGGAAGCACGCAUCCUAGCGGUUCUUUCCUUGCACUCAUCCAUGGAAAUUCUCAUGGCUUUGAGAGACUCAUUGAUAUCAUGCUUAGGAGGAAUAGAUCUAAGCUUUAAAGAAUCAACCUCAAGAGAAAUUCUAUCAACGUUUCUAGCCAAAUCAUCAACUUUAAGCAAUUUCUCCUCAAGCAAAGCAUUAAAAUUCUUUUAUGAAUUCAUAAACUCUUUAACACUAUUCUCAAAUUCAGAGGGCAUCUUAUUAUAAUUUCCAUAAGAGUUGUUGUAGGAAUUACCAUAAUUAUUAGAAGGAUUACUAGGAUAUGGCCUAGGAUUAAAAUUCCCUCUAUAAGCGUUGUUACCAAAAUUAUUCCUACCAACAAAAUUCACAUCCAUAGAUUCAUUGUUAUUCUCAAUCAAAGUAGACAAAGGGAUAUCAUUAGGAUCAGAAGAAACACUCUUAGUAGCAAAUAAUUUCAUAAGUUCAUCCAUCUUUCCACUCAACACAUUAAUUUCUUCUAUCGCAUGCACUUUUUUAUUAGAAGAUCUUUUAGUAUGCCAUUGAGAAUAAUUAACCAUAAUAUUAUCUAGGAGUUUAGUAGCAUCUCCUAAAGUGAUUUCCAUAAAAGUGCCUCCCGCGGCCGAAUCUAAAAGAUUUCUAGAAGCAAAAUUCAAUCCGGCAUAAUUUUUUUGUAUAAUCAUCCACAAAUUCAAACCAUGAGUAGGGCAAUUACGUAUCAUUAAUUUCAUUCUCUCCCAAGCUUGUGCAACAUGUUCAUGAUCAAGUUGUUUAAAGUUCAUAAUAUCGUUUCUAAGAGAGAUGAUCUUAGCAGGAGGAAAAUACUUAGAGAUAAAAACAUCUUUGCACUUGUUCCAUGAAUCAAUACUAUCCUUAGGCAAAGACGAAAACCAAGCUUUAGCACGAUCUCUAAGCAAAAAAGGAAAUAGAUUCAAUUUAACAACAUCAUUAUUGACAUCUUUUUUCUUUUGCAUAUCACAUAAAUCAACGAAGCUAUUCAGAUGAGUAGCGGCAUCUUCACUAGGAAGGUCGGCGAAUUGAUAUUUCAUAACAAGAUUCAACAAAGAAGUAUUAAUUUCACAAGAUUCAACAUCGGUAAGAGGAGCAAUCGGAGUGCUAAGGAAAUCAUUAUUGUUGGUAUUGGUGAAGUCACACAAUUUAGUAGUAUCUUGAGCCAUCGCGACAAGCGAGCAAUCUAACACACGAGCAAAUAAAAGCAAAUGGGCAAAAAGAGGCAAAUAGAGAGGGAGGAUAGGGAGAGAGAGGGCGAAUAAAACGGCAAGGGUGAAUUGGGGGGAGAGGAAAACGAGAGGCAAAUGGCAAAUAAUGUAAUGCGAGAGAUAGGGAUUGUGAUGGGUACUUGGUAUGUUGACUUUUUGCGUAGACUCCCCGGCAACGGCGCCAGAAAUCCUUCUUGCUACAUCUUGAGCUUGCGUUGGUUUUACCUAAAGAGGAAGGGAUGAUGCAGCAGAGUAGCGUAAGUAUUUCCCUCAGUUUUUGAGAACCAAGGUAUCAAUCCAGUAGGAGGCCACACUCAAAUCCCUCAUACCUGCACAAAGCGAUAGCUACUCGCAACCAACGCGAUUAGGGGUUUUCAAGCCCUUCACGGUCACUUACGAGAGUGAGAUCUGAUAGAUAUAAUAUUUUUGGUAUAAAGAUGCAAAGUAAAAAGUAAAAGCAAAGUAAAAACAGAGCAAGAUUAAAGUGAUGGAGAUUGAUAUGAUGAGAAUAGACCCGGGGGCCAUAGGUUUCACUAGUGGCUUCUCUCAAGAGCAUAAGUAUUCUACGGUGGGUGAACAAAUUACUGUUGAGCAAUUGACAUAACUGAGCAUAGUUAUGAGAAUAUCUAGGCAUGAUCAUGUAUAUAGGCAUCACGUCCGUGACAAGUAGAUCGAAACGAUUCUGCAUCUACUAUUAUUACUCCACUCAUCGACCGCUAUCCAGCAUGCAUCUAGAGUAUUAAGUUAAAAAUAGAGUAAUGCCUUAAGCAAGAUGACAUGAUGUAGAGAGAUAAAUUCAUGCAAUAUGAAAUAAACCUCAUCUUGUUAUCCUCGAUGGCAACGAUACAAUACGUGCCUUGCUGCCCCUUCUGUCACUGGGUAAGGACACCGCAAGAUCGAACCCAAAGCUAAGCACUUCUCCCAUGGCAAGAACUACCAAUCUAGUUGGCCAAACCAAACGGAUAAUUCGAAGUGACUUGCAAAGAUAACCAAUCAUACAUAAAAGAAUUCAGAGAAGAUUCAAAUAUUAUUCAUAGAUAGACUUGAUGAUAAACCCACAAUUCAUUGGUCUCAACAAACACACUGCAAAAAGAAGAUUACAUCGAAUAAAUCUCCACAAGAGAGGGGGAGAACUUUGUAUUGAUAUUCAAAGAGAGAGAAGAAGCCAUCUAGCUACUAACUAUGGACCCGAAGGUCUGAGGUAAACUACUCACACUUCAUCGGAGGGGCUAGGAUGAUGUAGAAGCCCUCCGUGAUGACGGCCCUCUUCCGGCGGAGCUCCGGAACAGGCCCCAAGAUGGGAUCUCGUGGAUACAAAAAGUUGCGGCGGUGGAAUUAGGUUUUUGGCUCCUGUUCUGAUCGUUUGGGGGUACGUGUGUAUAUAUAGGAGGAAGAAGUACGCCAGAGGAGCAACGAGGGGCCCACGAGGCAGGGGGGCACGCCCUAGGGGGGCGCCCCCACCCUCGUGACCGCCUCUUUUGUUCCUUGGAGCAGGGUCCAAGUCUCCUGGAUCACGUUCGGUGAGAAAAUCAUGUUCCCGAAGCCGUUUGGACUCCGUUUGAUAUUCCGUUUAUCCGAAACACUGAAAUAGGCAAAAAAACAGCAAUUCUGGGCUGGGCCUCCGGUUAAUAGGUUAGUCCCAAAAAUAAUAUAAAAGUGGAAAAUAAAGCCCAAUAUAGUCCAAAACAGUAGAUAAUAUAGCAUGGAGCAAUCAAAAAUUAUAGAUACGUUGGAGACGUAUCAGACGCGCAAGGUAUCGACAACCAAGAGGAGAAGAGAAGAAGCAAUGAGCACAAGGUGCACGAGGAGCAAAGUGAUGGCAAGAAGCUCAAGGAACAGAAAGAAGCCCCAACGCUAUAUAUGAAUAAUUAUGAAGCAUUAUGAAUAAGGGAUGAUGUUGUAUUAUGAAACAUUAUGAAACAUUUAUCACUUGACAUGUUGUAUUUCUGUUGGAUGAUGUUGGACCUGUGUUAGAAGUAUGUUUGACAUGAUGUUUAAAUCUGUUGGAUGAUGUUUGAAUGAGCACAUGGUUUUCCCUUUUUUUUGAUUUUUUUGAAUUUUGUUUUGCUCAUUUGAAUUCUGGUCAAACCUAACUUUGACCAAGAUUUAAACAAGUCUAAAACAUCAAAAUGAAAAACUAAACAUGGAUCCUUCUUAGUCAAUCCAAAAUGAAGCUGUGGUGAGGUUUUUGAAAUUUUCAUGAAAAAUGUGCUAAAAAGAGGGGUCCAAAGGUAGGGUACACGGCAUCAUUUGUAAGCAAGGUUUUUUUCGACCUUGUCUAAAUCAGCCAAAUAACUUUCCUACACAUAUAUUCUAUAUAUACAGACUAUGUGCGCUGGUUUUUCCAUUUUUUAUUUUUUUUUAUUUUGUUUUGCUCAUUUGAAUUUUGGUCAAACUUAACUUUGACCAAGAUUUAAACAAGUGUAAAACAUCAAAAUGAAAAACUAAGCCUGGAUCCUUCUUAGUUACUCCAAAAUGAAGUUGUGGUGAGUUUUUUGAAUUUGUCAUGUUCAUUUCCCCAAAACACUUCUCUUCACUUCAUACAAGAGAGUUUGAAAUACUCGAGAUAUCACACAAUACACAUGAACUUAUCGUUUAAAUGUAUGUAAACCUUGUUUAUCAACUUAAAUCGUUAGUAUAUGACAUAAGAAGACUAUGUGCACAGGUUUUUUAUUUUUCUGAUUUUUAUUUAAUUUAUUAUGCUCAUUUGAAAUCUGGUCAAACAUAGCUUUGACUGCUCCAAACCCCUCCCAAACCACGCUAACCCUAGCGCUGAACAAGGACCGUUCACCUAACCCUAGCGGCGAUCAAGGGUCGUCGAUCUAACCCUUCUAGAAGGAAUCUGCGGGGAGGAGGGGGGCGAUCCGCGAGAUGCAAUCUGAUUGGCUGGGAGAUUGUUUUUUAAAACAAAUAUCGAGCGCGCUGGAUGGACCGUUGGGCCGUCUCGUUGUUUGGGCCUGAGACCGCAGUAAAUAGCCCGUCUCAGUCUUUCCAGGCAUUGCAUGCAUGGGAGGCGGCGAUGUGGGUUUGCAUGCGCGGGAGGCGGCGAUGUGCAUGCAUGCGAGCGAGGCGCGCUAGGCGAGCUAGGCUAGCGAAGCGAGCUGGGUGGUUCAGGGUAGUGGUUCAGGGUAGCGAGUCAGAUGCACCGCCUGGUCAAAGAGUUAUGCAAUGAUUCAGAUGCACGCACGCGCCCCAUGCAUCGUUUUCGUGCAAAAAUUUAAGAGUGCAAAACGUAACGGAUACACACACACGUCCGGAUACACACACACGUCCGGAUUCACACACGCACCAUUCUCAUCCUUUCUCUCUUCCUCUCCCACCCACAAGCCAGAUCCAAUCCAUUCUCUCCAACUUCAAACACCCAAGCGACCGAGCCCUCCCCAAGUGAGACCAAGUGAAGAUGCAGUUCAACGGCCCGACCUUCAACCGUCCGCCUGUCGUGCCGGAGCUGCGCUACCCACUGGGCGUGCUCGUGGAGAGGGAGCUCCGUGUGUGGGAUAUUUCAAGGUGGAGGGGUUCCGUCGAACUCACCCGCGCCUUCCUCAGAGCCGGCUAUGCCCACCUCCCACGAGGCUCGCCGAGGAUGUUCACCCUCAACGAGGUUCAUCCUCCUACUGCUCACGGUCACCUUCACCAACCCGUUUGACGCGCGCGAGCUCCUCGACCAAGUCUUUUGGUGCGGCUGCGAGGCCAUCUUCUUCACCAUAUACAACAUCUACACCAACUAUGAGAGCAUCUUCCCCACUCCAGGCCAGAUGCACUCCCUUCCCUACGACGAGGAGGAGGAGGUUUGAAGAUGAAGAUGGUGUUGAAGGGGCGCGCGCGGCCAAGGUGGAGAAGGAGGUCAAGAAGAAGAUGUUCAAGCCCGGAGUCAAGCUCGUCAUGUUUCGUUUUUUAUUUUGUUGCUUUUCUAUGUCGUGUCGUGUCAUGUUCCGUCAUGUGUCUGUGAACUGUCCGUGAACUUUUUAUUGUAAUGGUACGGUGUGUUGCAUCUUAUCUAAGUUAUUAGGGUUUAUUAUGUGUGUUAAAAAAUGUCCGUGCUCAAACAUAUCAUUUCUUCCCUAAACCAAGUCAUGAAGUUCGAGAACUUGUGGUUUUCAUUAAUGAAAACCCUAAUGAAAAUCGGAGGGGGUGAGAAGCCCUCUGUUUCAUUCAAAAAAACAUAAAUCAUGAACUAACAUGCAAAUUUAUUCCCUUAAAUCCUAAACCAAGUGCCACUCUAACCAAAAUCAUGUGGUAGUGCAAACAUACGUUUUCAACCUUCCAACCCUCCAAAAUUUUAGUGCAAAACAAAGGAAAACCACUCUCACGCAUGUGCAAACAUUCACGGUCUCACUAUUUUUUUGACAAAUUUCAUAGUCUCACUAUGUAUACCUUCCUUCCCUACCCAUGUCAAAGUCUUGCCAUCUGUCCUAGCGAUUAGCAGCGCAGCCCUAAACACCACAAACCCACACGGCGGUCCUGGGUUCGAGUCCCCAGCCGCACCAAUUUUUUGUGCAUUUUCCACCUUCAUUUUUUUAGACAAAUUAUUUUUUUUCUCAAUGUAAUGCCCUUAAAAAAUGUUCAUUUAUUUUGGCACCAGGUGUAAACCUCUACCAGAGCUGAGGCACAUUUUCCAUGACAUUUUGGUCUUUGAUUUAAAUCACGGUGUAUUUGAAUUGGAUUAAUUAACAACUCCAAAAAAUUUCUAACCUUAAUUGUUUGGCUCUCGAAUAAUUCAAUUAGCUUCCACAAAAAGUUUCAGCAUUAUGAUUUACUGCCUAAAUUAAAUCAGAAUAGAAAACAUAAAAAUACGCAAGAGAACCCCCGAAUUGGCCUAAUUGGAUGCAGUUGGCCCAUUAGUCUAGCCUGCACUUGGCUCUACGCUCUGAAUAUGGCCCAAGAGCAACCUUUUUUUGACAGAAAGGCAGCGCAGAGAGCUGCAUUUCAUUGAACAAAAGUUUCUGAAUUCCUCAUUUCUUCUCCUUUUUUCAACAUAUUUAAAUGUUGGUCACUUCUUCUCUUUUUUUUCAACAUUUAAACAACUUUGACCAACAUUUAAACUAGGUGAAUUUCUCAUACAAUUUCAAGAUUACAAAUUCCUCCAUAAUUCAUGUCUUUCCAUACAUUUUCAACAUUACAACCAGUGCGAUUACCAUACCUACAAAUGCACAAAAGUAUUUGUAAAUGGGUAUUGGUAGUGUUUGAUCUUCAAGCUUCCUAACCUUCUUCUUCAACAUCCUAAGCUCAACAGCUAGCUCUCUGCCAGUGCGUGCUUCGCCCUCCAUCUCUUCUUCGUGGCAGCAUGCGCAACCAUUCUUCAUGCUCUUCUUGCAGUUCAUUCAUCAGAGUCUUGGCCAGAGCAUCGACCCAAAGAAAGAAGCAUGUCACCUGCAUGAACACCAAACAGAUCAACCCAUUGCUCAAAGAUCCCGACCAUGAAAAUGGUGCAAUUGCCUCGAUUCUUACCCCAUUCUCGCUGCACACGUAGAACGGACGAUUCUGGUUCCUCGGUGUGUGAGAAACCCUCCGAUCAACGCCCGCCCGGCACCGCGGACAGACGAAGACAGGCAUGUCCACACGCGCCCGGCUCUGCAUCCGCGAGGUGGUGUGGGAGCUUGAGGAAGACAUGGAGCUCGGAGCCGAAGGGGAUCUCAACGCCGCCGCGCCCUCCACAGCUAGCUUCCCACCGCCGCACCCUCCAUAGCUAGCUUCCUGAUGUCUACUACACAACCUUCUUCUUGUAGACAUUGUUGGGCCUCCAAGUGCAGAGGUUUGUAGGACAGUAGCAAAUUUCCCUCAAGUGGAUGACCUAAGGUUUAUCAAUCCGUAGGAGGCAUAGGAUGAAGAUGGUCUCUCUCAAGCAACCCUGCAACCAAAUAACAAAGAGUCUCUUGUGUCCCCAACACACUCAAUACAAUGGUAAAUUGUAUAGGUGCACUAGUUCGGCAAAGAGAUGGUGAUACAAGUGGUAUAUGGAUAGUAGAUAAUAGUUUUUGUAAUCUGAAAUAAUAAAAACAGCGAGGUAGCAAGUGAUAAAAGUGAGCGUAAACGGUAUUGCAAUGAUAGGAAAUAAGGCCUAGGGUUCAUACUUUCGCUAGUGUAAGUUCCCUCAACAAUAAUAACAUAAUUGGAUCACAUAACUAUCCCUCAACAUGCAACAAAGAGUCACUCCAAAGUCACUAAUAGCGGAGAACAAACAAAGAGAUUAUGGUAGGGUAUGAAACCACCUCAAAGUUAUUCUUUCCAAUCAAUCCGUUGGGCUAUUCCUAUAAGUGUCACAAACAACCCUAGAGUUCGUACUAGAAUAACACCUUAAGACACACAUCAACCAAAACCCUAAUGUCACCUAGAUACUCCAAUGUCACCUCAAGUAUCCAUGGGUAUGAUUAUACGAUAUGCAUCACACAAUCUCAGAUUCAUCUAUUCAACCAACACAUAGAACCUCAAAGAGUGCCCCAAAGUUUCUACCGGAGAAUCACGACAAAAACGUGUGCCAACCCCUAUGCAUAGGUUCAUGGGCGGAACCCACAAGUUGAUCACCAAAACAUACAUCAAGUGAAUCAUGUGGUAUCCCAUUGUCACCAUAGAUACGCACGGCAAGACAUACAUCAAGUGUUCUCAAAUCUUUAAAGACUCAAUCCGAUAAGAUAACUUCAAAGGGAAACUCAAUUCAUUACAAGAGAGUAGAGGGGGGAAGAAACAUCAUAGGAUCCAAAUAUAAUAGCAAAGCUCGCGAUACAUCAAGAUCGUAUCACCUCAAGAACACGAGAGAGAGAGAUCAAACACAUAGCUACUGGUACAUGCCCUCAGCCCCGAGGGAGAACUACUCCCUCCUUGUCAUGGAGAGCACCGCGAUGGUGAGAUGGCCACCGGAGAGCGAUUGCCCCCUCUGACAGGGUGCCAGAACGGGUCUAGAUUGGUUUUCAGUGGCUACGGAGGCUUCUGGCGGCGGAACUCCCGAUCUAUUGUCUGUUCUGGAAGUUUUAGGAUACGUAGGUAUAUAUGGGUGUAGGAAGUACGUCGGUGGAGCUACGGGGGCCCCACGAGGCAGGGGGCGCGCCCUAGGGGGGGGGCACCCCCCACCCUCGUGAGCACCUCCCUUGGCUCCUGAUGUGGGGUCCAAGUCCAUCCGGUAGCUUUCCUUCCAAAAAUAACUUCUCCAGUUGAUUUCGUUCUGUUUCGACUCCGUUCGAUAUUCCUUUUCUUCGAAACAAUGAAAUAGGCAAAAACAACAAUUCUGGGCUGGGCCUCCGGUUAAUAGGUUAGUCCCAAAAAUAAUAUAAAAGUGGAUAAUAAAGCCCAAUAUUGCCCAAAACAGUAGAUAACAUAGCAUGGAGCAAUCAAAAAUUAUAGAUACAUUGGAGAUGUAUUAGUUCCCACCGCCGUGCUCUCUCUCUCUCGCCGUGGUCACCGCCGUGCUCUCUAUCGCCGUGGUCACCGCCGAUGUCGCCCGCUUAUAUAGCACACCCGCCAACGGCUCUCUACUCAACGGCUCUCUGCUGGGUCCCACAAGCCAGGCGUGCAACGGUCUGAAUAAAAUUGGCCGUCUCUGCCGCCUGGUCCCACCUGUAAGGGCCGAGUCAAAAGGUUGACCCGGCGGAGACGGAAGAGUUCACGGAACGAGUCGGUGCGCACGGACUAGGUGCAAAACUGAGCACAAUUCGCAUCUGAGGGCAAAACUAAGUACAUGGACACCACUGAGGACAAAAGGAUAAUUAACCCUUCCGUAAAAUGCUUGCUAAAUAUGAUGUUAAUCAUAGAAUUGCAUCUCCUUAUCACCCACAGUCUAGUGGUCAAGUAGAAUUGAGUAAUAGAGAGCUCAGAUUAAUUUUGCAAAAGACUGUUAAUAGAUCUAGAAAAAAAUUGGUCCAAGAAACUUGAUGAUGCAUUAUGGGCCUAUAGAACUGCAUAUAAAAAUCCUAUGGGUAUGUCUCCGUAUAAAAUGGUUUAUGGAAAAGCAUGUCACUUACCUCUAGAACUAGAACAUAAGGCAUAUUGGGCUAUUAAAGAACUCAAUUAUGAUUUCAAACUUGCCGGUGAGAAGAGGUUAUUUGAUAUUAGCUCACUCGAUGAAUGGAGAACCCAAGCCUACGAAAAUGCCAAGUUGUUUAAAGAAAAAGUUCAAAGAUGGCAUGACAAAAGGAUACAAAAGCGUGAGUUUAAUGUAGGUGAUUAUGUAUUGCUAUACAACUCUCGUUUAAGAUUUUUUGCAGGAAAACUUCUCUCUAAAUGGGAAGGUCCUUACGUUAUCGAGGAGGUCUAACGUUCCGGUGCCAUAAAAAUCAACAACUUCGAAGGCACAAAUCCGAAGGUGGUGAACGGUCAAAGAAUCAAACAUUAUAUCUCAGGUAAUCCCAUAAAUGUUGAAACCAAUGUUAUUGAAACUGUAACCCUAGAGAAUACAUAAGGGACACUUUUCGGAACGUUUCAGACUCCGAAAAGGAAUAGGUAUGUGGUACGAUAAGUAAACCGACUCCAAAACAGUUUUUAAGGCAAUAUUUCUCUGUUUUGGAAUAUUUAGAAAAAUAGAAAAUAAGAAGCAGUCCGGGAAGGAUAUGAGGGCUCCACGAGGGUGGAGGGUGCGCCCCCUACCUCGUGGGCACCUUGUGCGCUCUCCGGACUCCGUUUUCAUACACGACACAUAUUUUGGUCGGUUAAAAUUCAUUAUAUAAUCUCCCAGGGGUUUUGACCACCGUAUCACGCAAAAAUCUCUCGUUCUUGUUUCGAGCUGUUUUCUGCCAGGUUAUCGAAGCUAAACAUCAUGUCAUCUCCCUCCUCCUCCAACAAUGAGGGCAACGAUGCUUGGCUAAUGAAGAUAGAGCUGAAGAGAGAAGAACCCAUGGAGACCCACAAGGACGGAGGGAUCAAGAAGGCCACGGGGGACCAAGCUCUGGCCACAGAAGACAUCCUUCAACUUGAUCAUAAUCUUCUUACCCCAACUGAGAUCAAAGCUUUCAAGAUGAUCGAGUUAGCUCGUAUACAAAAUAAGUAUCUCACACGUGAAAAUAUUUUGUUGAAGGAGCAUAUCAUCGCACUCAAGGGUAUUAUCCGCAAGUUAGAAGACCUCCUACGCUCGAUGUGCGACUAUCCAUCAUCAACAACUCCACCUUCUUCGCCAACAAAGGAGACACAAUCACAUGGGUAUGGUCGUAUGGGCACUCCCCUUGGCAACUGCCAAGCUUGGGGGAGUGCCCCGGUAUCGUAUCACCAUCACUUUUAUCUUUACCGUUUUUCUUAGUUCGAUCCUUUUGGUAAUAUCUUAAUCCAGUAGAAUAAAUGUUCUUAGUAUGAUCUAGUUGUGAGUUUUGCUUUAUAAUCCUUCUAUGUAAUCGAGUCCAUGAGCUAUAUAAUAAAGAUUAGUGUUGGUCAAGGGCUUGAUUAUUUUGCCAUGAUCCUAAGGGAAUAAAAGAAAAGAGAAAGAAAGAAAAAGAAACAAAGAGAUCAUGUGAGUCUUAUGGAGAGUAAUGAGCUCACAUAGAAAAAGGUAUGAUGAAUAAAAGUUGUUGAGGGUUGACAAACAUAGUUUUGGUCAUCGUUGCAAUUAAUAGGAAGUAAUAAAGAAAUAGAGGUCUUCACAUAUAAAUAUACUAUCUUGGACAUCUUUUAUGAUUGUGAGCACUCAUUAAAAUAUGACAUGCUAAAGAGUUGACGUUGGACAAGGAAAACAAUGUAAUGGGUUAUGUUUUCUUACAUCUGAGAUAAAUUAUAUUGUCAUGGAUCAUCCAACAUGGUUGAGCUUGCCUUUCUCCCUCAUGCUAGCCAAAUUCAUCGCACGAAGUAGAGAUACUACUUGUGCUUCCAAAUACCCUUAAACCAGUUUUGCCAUAAGAAUCCACCAUACCUACCUAUGGAUUGAGUAAGAUCCUCCAAGUAAGUUGUUAUCGAUGCAAUCAAUAAAAAUUGCUCUCUAAAUAUGUAUGACUUAUUAGUGUGUAAGAAAUAAGGUUUGUACGAUCGUGUGAUACGGAAGAAAUAAAAGCGACAGAUUGCAUAAUAAAGGUCCAUAUCACAAGUGGCAAUAUAAAGUGACGUUCUUUCGCAUUAAGAUUUUGUGCAUCCAACUAUAAAAGCGCAUGACAGCCUCUACUUCCCUCUGCGAAUGGCCUAUCUUUUACUUUUAUCUCCUACAUUGCAUAAGGGUCAUGGUGAUCUUCACCCUUCCUUUUUACAUUUUAUCCUUUGGCAAGCACGGUAUGUUGGAAAGAUCCUGGUAUAUAUGGCUAAUUGGAUGUGAGUUUUCCUGAACUAUUAUUGUUGACAUUACCCUUGAGGUAAAACAUUGGGAGGCAAAACUAUAAGCCCCUAUCUUUCUCUGUGUCCGAUUAAAACUCCAUACCCAUAAGUAUUGUGUGAGCGUCAGCAAUUGUGAAAGACUAUAUGAUAGUUGAGUAUGUGACUUGCUGAAAAGCUCUUAUACAUUGACUCUUUCCUAUGUUAUGAUAAAUUGCAAUUGCUCCAAUGACUGAGAUUAUAGUUUGUUAGUUUUCAAUGAAGUUUACGAUUCAUACUUGAAAUUGUGAUUGAAUUAUUACUCUAGCAUAAGAAAUCACAUGAUAAGAAUUAUAUAAGUUGUUGUUCUAAGAAUGAUCAUGAUGCCCUCAUGUCCGUAUUUUAUUUUUAUCAACACCUCUAUCUCUAAACAUGUGGACAUAAUUUUUGAUUUCGGCUUUUCGCUUGAGGACAAGCGAGGUCUAAGCUUGGGGGAGUUGAUACGUCCAUUUUGCAUCAUGCUUUUAUAUCGAUAUUAAUUGCAUUAUGGGCUGUUAUUACACAUUAUGUCACAAUACUUAUGCCUAUUCUCUCUUAUUUUACAAGGUUUACAUGAAGAGGGAGAAUGCCGGCAGCUGGGAUUCUGGGCUGGAAAAGGAGCAAAUAUUAGAGACCUAUUCUGCACAGCUCCAAAAGUCCUGAAACUUCACGGAAGACGUUUUCAGAAUAUAUAAAAAAUACUCAGCGGAAGGGAUUCACUAGGGGGGCCACACCCUACCCACGAGGGUGGGGGCGCGCCCCCUACCUCGUGGGCCCCCUGGUGACCCUCCGGUGGCCAUCUUCUGCUAUAUGAAGUCUUUCGAUGGGAAAAAAAAUUAAGAAGCCAUCUUCUCGGACAAAACACCGCCGCCACAAGGCGGAACCUUGGCGGAACCAAUCUAGGGCUCUGGCGGAGCUGUUCUGCCGGGGAAACUUCCCUCCCGGAGGGGGAAAUCAUCAGCAUCGUCAUCACCAACGCUCCUCUCAUUGGGAGAGGGCAAUCUCCAUCAACAUCUUCAUCAGCACCAUCUCCUCUCAAAAUCCUAGUUCAUCUCUUGUAUCCAAUUCUUAUCUCUAAGUCUGGGAUUGGUACCUAUGGGUUGCUAGUAGUGUUAAUUACUCCUUGUAGUUGAUACUAGUUGAUUUAUUUGGUGGAAGAUCAUAUGUGUCAGAUCCUAUAUGCAAAUACCCCUCUGAUUAUGAACAUGAAUAUGCUUUGUGAGUAGUUAUGUUUGUUCCUGAGGACAUGGGAGAAGUCUUGCUAUUAGUAGUCAUGUGAAUUUGGUAUUCGUUCGAUAUUUUGAUGAGAUGUAUGUUGUCUCUCCUCUAGUGGUGUUAUGUGAACAUCGACUACAUGACACUUCACCAUUAUUUGGGCCUAGAGGAAGGCAUUGGGAAGUAAUAAGUAGAUGAUGGGUUACUAGAGUGACAAAAGCUCAAACCCUAGUUUAUGUGUUGCUUCGUAAGGGGCUUAUUUGGAUCCAUAUGUUUCAUGCUAUAGUUAGGUUUACCUUAAUACUUUUGUUGUAAUUGUGGAUGCUUGCAAUAGAGGUUAAUCAUAAGUGGGAUGCUUGUCCAAGUAAGGACAGUACCCAAGCACCGGUCCACCCACAUACCAACUUAUCAAAGUACCGAACGCGAAUCAUAUGAGUGUGAUGAAAACUAGCUUGAUGAUAUUUCCUUGUGUCCCCGGGAGCGCUUUUCUCUAUAUAAGUGUUUGUCCAGGCUUGUCCUUUGCUACAAAAAGGAUUGGGCCACCUUGCUACACUUUAUUUACUUUUGUUACUUGUUGCUCAUUACAAAUUAUCCUAUCACAAAACUAUCUGUUACCACUUGUUUCAGUACUUGCAGAGAAUACCUUGCUGGAAACCGCUUAUCAUUUCCUUCUGCUCCUCGUUGGGUUCGACACUUUUACUUAUUGAAAGGAAUACGAUAGAUUCCCUAUACUUGUGGGUCAUCAGGUCGCGCGGUGGAGUUGGCCUAAGGGCAUGGCCAAUGCAUAGCCCAGGAUGAUGCCUCACAUGCCAUGUAGGAUCGGAUAAUAGAAAAGGUAGGUUCGGAUGAGGUAGCGGGAUCCUCCUCAUGAGAUGGGUGCUUAACGAUAAAAAGUUGGUCCGAUGCAUAAAGUUGAAAAGGUUGAAAUGGAGAGGAGGGAUGCAUAUGUGGUGAGAGUCACUUUCUAUUCUUUGAUGAGGUCCAUUGGUAGCAGCUUGCAUUGGGGAGAAAAAAUCAACACAUAUGUUUCAAAUUACUUUUUGUCAUGAGGCAUCUGUAUUCAUAUGCAACCAUUGUACAUGCCCUAAGAAUAACUCUAGCAUGGUCAGCAUAUCAACAGCUUCAAAAAGCUUUCCAAGUUUUUUUAUUUUGGCUGCAAAAACUUGUGCCUUUGUGCAAACAUAUAGUUGCCAAAAAUGAUAGCUUAUUUUUUUCGGUUGAUUCCAGCUAUUUGCAUAUAAAGGUUAUUGAAGUAUACCAUUAAUACGAAUGCGAUUAGCUAAAUGUAUUUAUUUAUCUUUUUUGAGAUGAAGAGGUUACUUGUUCCUCAUAUCUUCGUACCAGAAUGUCUGUCAUUCACCCCUGCCCAUUGGCGCCCUCCUCUCUUGCUCCCUUUUCUUAGGGGUAAAACCGUCCUAUUUUUCAAAAGGCAUCGGGAAUUGUCAAUGCGACGACAUGCUGAAUACAGUCCGAUGGAAUAUCAAACAAACCUUAGAGUUCAUUGCUUCCAUUUGCUGAUCUCCUCGGUCCUCACCCAUUUGAUCUUGUGGUCAUCACAAGAUUUGAGCAUGCCCUUGAUUUCUUCAACAACCGGCCCAUCUGCACAGAGGAUUUUUGCUAUCGUUUUUUUUUGCGAGAAAAUUUCCGAUCUAUUCAUCAACUGUCAAGGUAGUACAAAGAACAUCAGAAGUAAAAAUUACAACCAGGUCCGUAGGCCACUUUGCGAUGACUACAUGCACUGGAGCGAGCCGAAGGCAUGCCAAGCAUGCUUACCAUGCUUUUACAGAUAUGAUGUCAUGCAAGGUACUUCCUACUAGUUUCAAAGAAUAUCUUACAUUACAGGACAUAGAGUGUACACUAGAGGUGAGCCCAUGCUCGACAUGCAGGGCCUUUCGGCCCUUGAGAGGGAGGGCUAGCUCUGCAUAAAGGGUGCAUGAUUCAAAUACAGCGAAGGGAAACCGGCACAACUUUUUGGUCCUGGUGCCUGUUGGUUUUCACUUUUUAUCGUGAUUCUAGAGAAGAUGGAUUCAACUACUCGGACUUAUGGCAUUUAUUUAACAUAAGAAAACUAGACAUGCUCAUGAUGAGGCUAUGGACUCUUUUCCAAUCCAAAGAGGUCAGGCACAUUAGGGACAGACGUUGAUUUCAUUGAUCUGUGUCCUUGUUAGCGGUGCCCGGGUCCGGAUCUGGGAGUCGAAGCUCGUCGCGUCUGUCCUGGGUUUACCGUGGGAUACGGGUGAGUUGCCGAGCGAAAGCUCCGUGCUUUGGCACCGAUGACGGCGAAGCCUGCGGGCACCACUAUCUUCUUGAAGAUGUUGUCCUUGUUCUCCUCUCUGUGUCCGGGCUCUGGGUGAAGACCCUUGUCCACUCCGGACUCGGCAGUGGCGACGCUAUGCGCCGUUCUCCCUCUUGAGGGCGCCGUCGUGGAGCCUAGGUGUGCUAAGGCAUGGCGUUGUACUCUGAUCUCCCCUUGUUCUUCUUCGGUAUCGUAGGUCUGCAUCGUACCGAGAUCUCAAAAUCUGCUUUGUAAGAGGACCACCUCUCCACUAUGUAUCUUUCGGCCGUGUAUUUUGGUCGGUGCUUUAUCUGUAAAGUGGGGCGUGAGCCUGUUUUGAGGAGUGCCUUUGCACCUGGUACUAGCUCAAAAAAAGGAAAAAAAACUUUGUUUUUGCCCACUUUGUUUAUACCACUCUAGUUUUUGCCUACUUUAUUUAUACCACUCUAGAAUUUAACAUCUCAUUUUUGUCAUUCUAGGCUUUUGACAAUGUAUCACAAAUGCUAUUUGUUGCAAAAGCAAAACUAUUUCAUUUCACUUGGGACACUCUUAGCUUUUGACAAUGCACAAUUGCCAAGAGUGACAAAAGUGAAAUAUGAAAAAACUAAAGUGGCAUAAAUAAAAUGGGCAGAAACUAGAGUGACAAAAACAAGGUCCCCUUCCCCCUAUGUAUCCGAGUACUUUGCGGGGCGUGGGGAGCUCAGAAAGAUAAAUCAUGCAUCAACAUGGCGUAUGAAUCCACGUCAGUUUUACAACCUAAUCAAAAUCUAUUUGUUACACACGUAGUAACGCCCUUUGGUUCCUUAUGCAUAACCGACCAGCGGAUCCUUGUGGUCAUUCUAUGAUAAUACUUCCUCCGUUUCAGUUUACAAAUCCUGCGCAUAUAUCUAGGUUGUCAAUUUUAUCAUCCUAAUAUAAACUAUAUAACAUGAAAAUUAUACCGUUUAAAAAUAGAACAUCUGAAGUUUAUAUUGAUAUAUUUUUUGUAAUAUAUGACUUGUAUUAGAUUGAUCAAAUUGACAACCUAGGGUACGCGCACGCUUUGUAAACUAAGAAAGAGAGGGAGUACUAUGAGAAUCAAAGGUGGUAAUGGCCUCAACAAAUGAGACCUCAAAGAUAUCAAGGACGCCAUAGAACUCCCUCCGUCCGGUGACAUCUAGCUUCAAAUUUUGUCCACAAAAAAAUAUACUUCUAUCUUCCUAAUGCACUUUAAAGUAGAGAAAAAAUACUUCUCUCUCAUCACACUGUAAUCAAGACCAAUAGCAAUCUACACAUAAUCUUUUUAAUUUCUACAUGCACUUGGCUCAUAGGGGGUUGAGUAAUUAAAAAGGAGAUAGAUGGUGGCUUGCACCUUUCCAAUGCAUUUUUUAUUCAAGUCCAUAAUUUAUCCUAAAAUUUUUAGAUGUACACUCUUCAUUGGACGGAGGGAGUACGUUUUACUACUUGUCUAGGCACACCAAUGAAGCAACCUAUGCCCGUAAAGAUUGCUGCAAUCUCAUCCACCACUGCUUUCCCCGUUUGCAAUAAUGCACUACUUCUACGUUUGCAAUAAUGUUUUCCAAAUGAUAAUACUCACACGUGUGGCGAAGCAAUUUCGUCCACACGUUUUUUGAUCGCAACUUUAGUUACCAACUUUAAUUGUGAAGCAUGAUAAUUUUCUAUUUGGUUGGCAAGUUUCAAUUUUUUGAGAUCCUUUUUUCUGGAUGACAAUUUUAAUGUAAAAAACAUGUGGACGGUGUUACUACAUGCUACACGUGUGACAAUUAUCGGGGUCCUAAUGUUUUGCAAUAACCACCGGGAAGCGUCACGUCUAGUUUUACAUGUACGCCAAUAUGUGUGUGUUAGUUCGUGAGUACAAUCCAGUGAAGAGUCAUAGUAAUUUCAAAAACAGCAUGAGCUUGAUACAACACAAAUAUAUGCAUUUACCUUAUCUUGCCGUCCCAUGCAGAUAUACGAGUACAUUUGUCUUGUUUGAGUUUCUUAUUAUUAUACUCUCUCCGUUCCUAAAUAUUUGUUUUUAUAGACAUUUCAAAUGACUACUACAUACGGAUGUAUGUAGACAUAUUUUAGAGUGUAGAUUCACUCAUUUUACUUCGUAUGUAGUCAUUUGUUGAAAUGCCUAUAAAGACAAGUAUUUAGGAACGGAGGAAGUACUAAAUAAAAAGGCCGCACUCCUCAGAUCACGUGUAGGAGUGUAUCCCUAUCCCACAUGGAUGGAUAUUUUUAUUCGAGCUCACAUUGCAUCUCACCCUCCCUAUCCACACACAGUCAGCCAGCGUGCACCUCGGGCUUCUUCCCAAAUCAUACUGCAAUAAGCUGAGGGUGUCUUUUCUGCAUGGUAUAAAGCUGAGGGUGUUGUUGUGUCUCAGUUGUUCAUUACGGAGUACUGUAUUUUUUAGGAACAGCGUUUAUACUUUAUACCAAAAUCCCGCAGAAAUCAAUCUCUCUAUCUCUCUCUUUGGAUGAGUCGAUGCAUAAAUUAAUUUGUUUUUUCUUUGAGGUUUUGCAGAAAUCAAUCAUGUGAACCAAAGUGGGCCUCACCAGAGCAUUGCAUGGGCCGGGAUGGCAAAGCAGCAGCUCCGGUCCGCCAUCGUACCGGCCCAUAAUAUUCCGAAAAGCCCAACAAGCCCAUAUACCCCUUGCAUCACACGCAAAACUAGGCUUUCGCCCAACAAAAAAAACGAGGGAAGAAGAUCAAAUGCAUCAAUGAAAAACAGGGGGCAGUGAAUAGCACAUGUUAAUUACUCUAAUUAUUCAACAACACUUGGUCGGAAACCACACGGAGUUGCUACACUCGUACUCCACACCACAGGGAAGAAGAAAAUCGGCCGGUCGAGAUACACAAAUCGCAGGGACGCACAGCACUGGAGCAAGCAAGUACUGUAGCAUCCACACCACACACUAGUAUAGUAAAGCUAUGGCGAGCCGAGCGGCCACGCAGGCUAGGCGUCGAGGUCGGUGGGGCACUGGAAGCCGUUGGGCGGGUGCUUGCCGCAGGUGAUGAGCAGCCGGAGCGCCACGGGGAGGUAGAUGUUGAUGUUGAGCACCCGCGCCCGGAUGGUGGUGCAGAGGCACAGCGCCGCGUCCAGGUCCGCCACCCCCUGCACCAGCGGGCAGCACUUGCUCCGCGCCUCCCGCCCGAUCACCAGGUGCACCAGCCCGCUCAGCACGUCCACGCACGCGUUCAGCUUCAGCGCGUCGAUCGGGCACGUCUUCCUCCCCGGCCCCGGCGACGGCGGCGGCACGUAGGGCGGUGUCGGUGGCACGUAGGGCGGUGACGGCGUGUAUGGUGGAGUUGGCGGGACGUAGGGCGGAGUGUAUGGCGGCGUCGGCGGGACGUAUGGUGGCACGUAUGGCGGUGGAAGUGGCGUUGGUGGCACGUACGGCGGACUUGGAGGAAUGUACGGUGGCGUCGGCGGGGUGUAGGGCGGUGGGCUCGGCGUGGGCGGCACGUACGGCGGUGGCAGUGGCGUAGGAGGGCCGUAUGGUGGAGUCGGCGGUGGACGCGGCGUCGGCGGCGGGUGGCACGGCGGGCAUUUGUGGCCCGACGGAGGGCCGUGGUGGUGCUUGGGCGGCUUGCCGUGGUGGGGCGGGUGGUGGUGUCCAGGAUCACCACCACCACCACCGCCGCCAUGUCCCGGCGGGCAGUUGCUCUCGUGCCACCCGUACGUGCCGGGCAGGAGCAGGACGACGGCGACGCCAACAAGCAGUAGCGAACACACUCUGGCAAGGCUGGCCAUGGCGCCGGGGCGUCCGGACAGUGCGCGAUCCCAAUGCCAAUGCGGUGCCAUGAGACGCACCCGUCCACUCAAUUUAUAGAGGGGACAUGCCAGACGCCCGCGCCAUGCCGCGCGCCAGGUGUUCGACGGGAGCCCACCUGGCGACCGAUGGCGCAAGAGGCCACGGGCGGCGCGGGGCUCACGGUCACGGGCGCGCACUGCACGCAUACAGAGGCGUCGCUUCUCUAGUUGUACUCCAU
rnacentral:lncRNA from 1 species